AGCAAAACCAAUCCCAGGACGUUUUGCUCCGGCGACGGAAUUCUGGCGAGCGCGUUUUACUCCGGCGACGGAAUUCUGACGAGCAUGUUUGCUCUGGCGAGCGCGUUUUGCUCUGGCGAGCACGUUUUGUGUUGGCGGUUGAAGUUCGGCGAGCAAGUGUCGCCGGCGUGGAAGUUCGGCAGAAGGAUCCAUUUGAACAUUGAACCUGGUUUCUGGCGGUGGCGAACAGGACAAGUGAAAUUAAGAAAAUAAG
rnacentral:lncRNA from 1 species